AAGCUGUGAUGAUAUUUGCGUUAAUUGUGGCAGUUGGGUCCGCCACUUCUGUCUGAUCUUCAGACGAAGCUUAUAGCGCAUCUGAGCUU